ACAUAGGCGUGUGAAGCGAACCUGGGGAACUGAAAUAUCUAAGUACCUGGAGGAAAAGAAAUCAACCGAGAUUUCCACAGUAGCGACGAGCGAACCGGAAACAGCCCUUAAGUCGUGUUCCCGUUAACAGAACGGUCUGGAAAGUCCGGCCAUAGAGGGUGAUAGCCCCGUACGUGAAAACGGUUACAUGAUGAAAUCGAGUAGGGCGGGACACGUGAAAUCCUGUCUGAACAUGGGGGGACCAUCCUCCAAGGCUAAAUACUCCUUACCGACCGAUAGUGAACCAGUACCGUGAGGGAAAGGCGAAAAGAACCCCUGUUAGGGGAGUGAAAUAGAACCUGAAACCGUGUGCGUACAAGCAGUGGGAGCCUGGCUUCGGCCGGGUGACUGCGUACCUUUUGUAUAAUGGGUCAGCGACUUACAUCUCAGUGGCAAGCUUAACCGAAUAGGGGAGGCGUAGCGAAAGCGAGUCUUAAUAGGGCGAAUCAGUCGCUGGGAGUAGACCCGAAACCGGACGAUCUAGCCAUGGCCAGGUUGAAGGUCGGGUAAUACCGACUGGAGGACCGAACCAACUGACGUUGAAAAGUCAGUGGAUGAGCUGUGGCUAGGAGUGAAAGGCUAAACAAGUCCGGAGAUAGCUGGUUCUCCCCGAAAACUAUUUAGGUAGUGCCUCGUGUCUCACUUCUGGGGGUAGAGCACUGUUAUGGCUAGGGCCACGUCUAGUGGUACCAACCCAUUGCAAACUCCGAAUACCAGAAAGUGCAAUCACGGGAGACAGACGGCGGGAGAUAAGUUUCGUCGUCGAAAGGGAAACAGCCCAGACCGCCAGCUAAGGUCCCUAAAUCACAGCUCAGUGGGAAACGAUGUGGGAAGGCCCAGACAGCCAGGAGGUUGGCUUAGAAGCAGCCACCCUUUAAAGAAAGCGUAAUAGCUCACUGGUCAAGUCGGCCUGCGCGGAAGAUAUACCGGGGCUAAGCUGUGUACCGAAGCUGCGGAUGCAAGCUUGCUUGCAUGGUAGGGGAGCGUUCUGUAAGCCUGUGAAGGUGUGCCGUGAGGCAUGCUGGAGGUAUCAGAAGUGCGAAUGCUGACAUGAGUAACGAUAAAGGGGGUGAAAAACCCCCUCGCCAGAAGUCCAAGGUUUCCUACGCAACGUUGAUCGGCGUAGGGUUAGUCGGUCCUAAGGCGUAUCCGAAAGGAGAAGUCGAUGGAUAGCUGGUAAAUAUUCCAGCACCUUUAAAUAAUUGUUUGACUCAAAGAGGUGACGCGAACAGAUAAGCAGAGCAUACGUAUUGGACAUCGUGUGUUUUUGACCGUAGGAGAGUAGAAAAGGUUAAAAUAUUUUCUAUGUUUGAUCUGAGGAGAUAGAAAACCAUGAGGUUAGCCUCGUGGAAUUAUGCUGAUUCUAAGUCGCCCAGAAACACCUCGUUGAUUAGAUUUUUUGAAGACCGUACCGCAAACCAACACAGGUAGACAGGGAUAAACGUCCCAAGGCCUUCGAGAGAACCAUCGUUAAGGAACUCGGCAAAUUGACCCCGUAACUUAGGGAGAAGGGGGACCUUAAGUGUAUAUGAGCUAGCCUCAAAAAUCACGUAAGGUAGCAUAAAAUAGGCUGAAGCGACUGUUUACCAAAAACACAGGUCCAUGCCAAAGCGAAAGCUGAUGUAUAUGGGCUGACGCCUGCCCAGUGCCGGUAGGUUAAGGAAAGGAGUGCAAGCUCUUGACUGAAGCCCCGGUGAACGGCGGCCGUAACUAUAACGGUCCUAAGGUAGCGAAAUUCCUUGUCGGGUAAGUUCCGACCCGCACGAAUGGCGUAAA
rnacentral:rRNA from 1 species